CCUACGGGAGGCAGCAGUGGGGAAUAUUGCACAAUGGGGGAAACCCUGAUGCAGCGACGCCGCGUGAAGGAAGAAGUACUUCGGUAUGUAAACUUCUAUCAGCAGGGAAGAAAAUGAUGGUACCUGUCUAAGAAGCCCCGGCUAACUACGUGCCAGCAGCCGCGGUAAUACGUAGGGGGCAAGCGUUAGCCGGAUUUACUGGGUGUAAAGGGAGCGUAGGCGGCGAUGCAAGUCAGAAGUGAAAGCCCGGGGCUCAACUCCGGGACUGCUUUUGAAACUGUGUUGCUAGAUUGCAGGAGAGGUAGGUAGAAUUCCUGGUGUAGCGGUGAAAUGCGUAGAUAUUAGGAGGAACACUAGUGGCGAAGGCGGCUUACUGGACUAUGAAUGACGCUGAGGCUCGAAAGCGUGGGGAGCAAACAGGAUUAGAUACCCUUGUAGUC
rnacentral:rRNA from 1 species